rnacentral:tRNA from 1 species
GAGGGUGUAACUCAGUGGUAGAGCACUUGCCUACCAUGUGUGAGGCCCUGGGUUCAAUUUCCAGCACCCCA